AGUGAACGCUGGCGGUAGGCCUAACACAUGCAAGUCGAACGGCAGCACAGUAAGAGCUUGCUCUUACGGGUGGCGAGUGGCGGACGGGUGAGGAAUACAUCGGAAUCUACUUUUUCGUGGGGGAUAACGUAGGGAAACUUACGCUAAUACCGCAUACGACCUACGGGUGAAAGCAGGGGAUCUUCGGACCUUGCUCGAUUGAAUGAGCCGAUGUCGGAUUAGCUAGUUGGCGGGGUAAAGGCCCACCCAGGCGACGAUCCGUAGCUGGUCUGAGAGGAUGAUCAGCGACACUAGAACUGAGACGAGGUCCAGACUCCUCCGGGAGGCAGCGGUGGGGAAUAUUGGACAAUGGGCGCAAGCCUGGUCCAGCCAUACCGCGUGGGUGGAGAAGGCCUUCGGGUUGGGAAGCCAAUUUGUUGGGAAAGAAAAGCAGAGGGUUAAUACCCCGCUGUUCUGAAGGUACCCAAAGAAUAAGGACCGGCUAACUUCGUG
rnacentral:rRNA from 1 species